CUCUGUGACUCCUACGGGAGGCAGCAGUGGGGAAUAUUGCACAAUGGGGGAAACCCUGAUGCAGCCAUGCCGCGUGUGUGAAGAAGGCCUUCGGGUUGUAAAGCACUUUCAGUAGGGAGGAAGGUAGUGUAGUUAACACCUGCACUAUUUGACGUUACCUACAGAAGAAGCACCGGCUAACUCCGUGCCAGCAGCCGCGGUAAUACGGAGGGUGCGAGCGUUAAUCGGAAUUACUGGGCGUAAAGCGCAUGCAGGCGGCCUGUUAAGUCAGAUGUGAAAGCCCCGGGGCUUAACCUCGGAAUUGCAUUUGAAACUGGCAGGCUAGAGUACUGUAGAGGGGGUAGAAUUUCAGGUGUAGCGGUGAAAUGCGUAGAGAUCUGAAGGAAUACCGGUGGCGAAGGCGGCCCCCUGGACAGAUACUGACACUCAGAUGCGAAAGCGUGGGGAGCAAACAGGAUUAGAUACCCUGGUAG
rnacentral:rRNA from 1 species